AAGUAAUUUAUUACUACAGUAGACCAAUUGGAACCGUUGGCGGGUAGAGAGCGAAUAGGAAGAUCGAAUUAUAAGUGUAGAGUACACGAGCGGCGGACGGUGAGUAACACGUGGGAAUCUACCCAAACUGAGGGAUAAGCACCGGAAACGGUGUCUAAUACCGCAUAUGGUCUUCGGAUUAAAGCUUCGGCGGUUUGGGAAGAGCCCGCGUAAGAUUAGCUAGUUGGUGAGGUAAAGGCUCACCAAGGCGACGAUCUUUAGCUGGUUUGAGAGGAUGAUCAGCCACACUGGAACUGAGACACGGUCCAGACUCCUACGGGAGGCAGCAGUUAGGAAUUUUCCACAAUGGGCGCAAGCCUGAUGGAGCAACGCCGCGUGCAGGAUGAAGGUUUUCGGAUUGUAAACUGCUUUUAUGUGUGAAGAAUAUGACGGUAACACAUGAAUAAGGAUCGGCUAACUCCGUG
rnacentral:rRNA from 1 species